CCCGCCCCCCGGCCCCAACAGAAGCCCUGAUUCACAUAUUUAGAGAAGAAAUAAUCUCAAUCCUACACCAACUCUCCCAGAACAUGAAGGAGGAGGGAUACUUCCCAACUCAUUUUAAUUUAUAUUUGACUUACCCUGAUGCUAAAGCCAGUCUAAGACAUUACAAGGCAUUGCAUUCUGGUGGAACAACUGAUGCCACCCAGACUUGUGACCCCCACCCAGGAACUGACAGAGGCACAGAGACAGUUUUGAUAACCCUGUGGUUUCAUCCCUGACCAAACCAAUCAGUAUUUCCCAUUCCCUAGCUCCCUGCCUGCCAAACUAUCCUUAAAACCCUAGCCUCCGCAUUCUCUGGGAGGCAGAUUUGAGAAUUGUCUCAUCUUCUCGCUUGGCUGGCCUUGCAAUUAAA
rnacentral:lncRNA from 1 species